rnacentral:rRNA from 1 species
CUGGGCCUUUCCUGACGCUGAGGAGCGAAAGCGUGGGGAGCAAACAGGCUUAAAUACCCUGGUAGUCCACGCUGUAAACGGUGGGUACUAGGUGUGGGGUCCAUUCCACGGGUUCCGUGCCGUAGCUAACGCUUUAAGUACCCCGCCUGGGGAGUACGGCCGCAAGGCUAAAACUCAAAUGAAUUGACGGAAUCACUAUAAAGUCCCAACAGGGACUGAGAUACGGCCCAGACUCCUACGGGAGGCAGCAGUGGGGAAUAUUGCACAAUGGGCGGAAGCCUGAUGCAGCAACGCCGCGUGCGGGAUGACGGCCUUCGGGUUGUAAACCGCUUUCGCCUGUGACGAAGCGUGAGUGACGGUAAUGGGUAAAGAAGCACCGGCUAACUACGUGCCAGCAGCCGCGGUGAUACGUAGGGUGCGAGCGUUGUCCGGAUUUAUUGGGCGUAAAGGGCUCGUAGGUGGUUGAUCGCGUCGGAAGUGUAAUCUUGGGGCUUAACCCUGAGCGUGCUUUC